rnacentral:rRNA from 1 species
CCUACGGGAGGCAGCAGUGGGGAAUUUUGCACAAUGGGGGAAACCCUGAUGCAGCGACGCCGCGUGAGUGAAGAAGUAUCUCGGUACGUAAAGUUCUAUCAGCAGGGCAGAAAAUGACGGUACCUGACUAAGAAGCCCCGGCUAACUACGUGCCAGCAGCCGCGGUAAUACGUAGGGGGCAAGCGUUAUCCGGAUUUAUUGGGUGUAAAGGGAGCGUAGACGGCAGGACAAGUCUGGAGUGAAAGCCCCGGGCUUAACCCCGGUACUGCUUUGGAUACUGUGCGGCUGGAGUGCAGGAGAGGUAAGCGGAAUUCCUGGUGUAGCGGUGAAAUGCGUAGAUAUUAGGAGGAACACCGGUGGCGUAGGCGGUUUACUGGACUGUAACUGACGUUGAGGCUCGAAAGCGUGGGGAGCAAAUAGGAUUAGAUACCCGAGUAGUC